GAGUUCGAGUCUCCUAACCUCCACUGACCGAACUUUGUCCCCAACUUCAGAGUAUGGAGUUGAGCUCGAGUGGAGUGUGAUUUAGAUGUGUCCGCUGGAAGACCCCAGCUUCCUGUCAUUCUAAAAAUUGAUUGAUUCAGUUUUUAGUUGAUAAGAUGCUGGGCUCGCACUGAGCAAUCAGUGAUGAGUUCUGGCA
rnacentral:misc_RNA from 1 species